GAAAAGUGUUUGUGUAUAAGUGAUGUUUGGGAAAGAAAUGGGAUGUCAUGGGAUGGGACGGGAUAGGUUGAGAUAGCUAUCCAAAAUAGGCCUAAGUGACGGGGGGGAAGUAUUUAAUACAUUGUGCACCCACUAAUUCUUCACUAGUAUAAUCGACCAAAUUAGUCAGAUUAAUUGGUCUCUCUGGAACCUUUGAAGGUACGCAAGGUUAGGGAUUGAUCAAGAGAACA